rnacentral:tRNA from 1 species
GGGUCGUUAGCUCAGUCGGUAGAGCAACGGGCUUUUAACCCGUGGGCCCUGGGUUCGAGCCCCAGACGACCCACCA